CUUCUGUGCUGCGAGGUUCUCUCGCAGCACAUUUCU
rnacentral:sRNA from 1 species